UACGUAGGGGGCAAGCGUUGUCCGGAAUUAUUGGGCGUAAAGAGCGCGUAGGCGGUCCGGUAAGUCGGUUGUGAAAGUCGGGGGCUCAACCCUCGGAUGCCGAUCGAUACUGUCGGGCUAGAGUCCGGAAGAGGCGAGUGGAAUUCCUGGUGUAGCGGUGAAAUGCGCAGAUAUCAGGAGGAACACCAAUUGCGAAGGCAGCUCGCUGGAACGUUACUGACGCUGAGACGCGAAAGCGUGGGGAGCAAACAGG
rnacentral:rRNA from 1 species